rnacentral:rRNA from 1 species
GAGGAUGCGAGCGUUAUCCGGACUUAUUGGGUUUAAAGGGCGCGUAGACGGGAUGUUACGUCAGCUGUGAAAGUUUGGGGCUCAACCUUAAAAUUGCAGUUGAAACUGGCAUUCUUGAGUGCGGCAGAGGCAGGCGGAAUUCGUGGUGUAGCGGUGAAAUGCUUAGAUAUCACGAAGAACUCCGAUUGCGAAGGCAGCUUGCUGGAGCGUAACUGACGUUGAUGCGCGAAAGUGUGGGGAG